GAAGAAGGGAACAAAUCAGUUUAACACAUGCUUCAAAGGAGUGAAGAAAGACCUAAAGUGGACAGGGACCUAGAAAUAAAUGACUCUACAUAAUACAUAUAGGAUAAUUUUAUAUUCAAAACAAGUGAGCAUUGGCUGGUUUGCAGAGUGUGAUCAAUGGAAUAGCUGCAGUUGGAAUAAAUAAGACUCAGGCGAACACUUGAUAGGUUCUAUAACUGAAAUCGCUCUAUCCCGGGCCAGAUUAAAUAUCAUUCGACACAAAACCAACUUCCAAGACAGAAACCAGAGUCUAGAGUCGUGUAAAGAGGCCCCGAGAGGGACUUCUGUGUGAACGAUACAAUCAAGUAAUUCUAGCGAUCGCCACGAAGCCAUGAUUUAACCAGGUUAAAGAUACGAGAAAACCUGGUACGAACUGGAAAAUUAAUUUUUUUAAGGGUCAUUCUAGCGACCAGAAACGGUAACACUCCUAAUGGGAAAAAAUCAGCUUGCCAUACAAAAGAAACCGAGAAAUACAAUAGGAAUGGUAUACGGCUGACCGCUUAGGAGAGACGGCCUAUAGGCCCUGUAGAAACAACAACGCUAUGUGCAUAGGACUCCACAAUGAAACUCAUAUCAAGGAAAUAAAUUAACAUGCUUAAUCUCAAUAGUGUAAGAACUACACGCCGAUGAAAAACAAAGAAACAACGACACAAGUGUAUAAAAAAAGAUUGUAGAUGCCCUAGACUUGUUGAAAUGGGAGUUGGUCGACGAAUUCAGUGAGGAACCUUGAACCAAGGCGAGGAGACGACUAAAAAGAUGGAAGAAAUAACAAGUGAAUUUACGAGACCCAAGAAUUUCAGCCGAAAUCUCCCAGAAAAACUUGUUACAUAGUCCAAAUGAUAUGCAAUAAACUGAGUAUAAUUUUCA